UGGCAGGAAUCCAGAUAUGCUUAGG
rnacentral:piRNA from 1 species